rnacentral:rRNA from 1 species
GACGAACGCUGGCGGCGUGCCUAAUACAUGCAAGUCGAACGCUUCUUUCCUCCCGAGUGCUUGCACUCAAUUGGAAAGAGGAGUGGCGGACGGGUGAGUAACACGUGGGUAACCUACCCAUCAGAGGGGGAUAACACUUGGAAACAGGUGCUAAUACCGCAUAACAGUUUAUGCCGCAUGGCAUAAGAGUGAAAGGCGCUUUCGGGUGUUGCUGAUGGAUGGACCCGCGGUGCAUUAGCUAGUUGGUGAGGUAACGGCUCACCAAGGCCACGAUGCAUAGCCGACCUGAGAGGGUGAUCGGCCACACUGGGACUGAGACACGGCCCAGACUCCUACGGGAGGCAGCAGUAGGGAAUCUUCGGCAAUGGACGAAAGUCUGACCGAGCAACGCCGCGUGAGUGAAGAAGGUUUUCGGAUCGUAAAACUCUGUUGUUAGAGAAGAACAAGGACGUUAGUAACUGAACGUCCCCUGACGGUAUCUAACCAGAAAGCCACGGCUAACUACGUG